rnacentral:rRNA from 1 species
AGAGUUUGAUCCUGGCUCAGAGUGAACGCUGGCGGCAGGCCUAAUACAUGCAAGUCGAACGGCAGCACAGCAGAGCUUGCUCUGUGGGUGGCGAGUGGCGGACGGGUGAGGAAUACAUGGGAAUCUGCCCAGUCGUGGGGGAUAACGUAGGGAAACUUACGCUAAUACCGCAUGCGCCCUUCGGGGGAAAGCCGGGGACCUUCGGGCCUGGCGCGAUUGGAUGAGCCCAUGUCGGAUUAGCUAGUUGGCGGGGUAAUGGCCCACCAAGGCGACGAUCCGUAGCUGGUCUGAGAGGAUGAUCAGCCACACUGGAACUGAGACACGGUCCAGACUCCUACGGGAGGCAGCAGUAGGGAAUAUUGGACAAUGGGCGCAAGCCUGAUCCAGCCAUGCCGCGUGAGUGAAGAAGGCCCUCGGGUUGUAAAGCUCUUUUGUCCGGAAAGAAAAGCGCCGGGUUAAUACCCUGGUGUCCUGACGGUACCGGAAGAAUAAGCACCGGCUAACUUCGUG